CAUCAACCUCAUCUCCGUCGAGGUCAGGCACUUGUGAGGCAUGGCCAGAGAAAUGAAACACCAAUGAGUCCCCAGACUGGCAACCCUGGACAAGCCACUUCAUGGCCAUCCUGAUGUUGCGCUUCGUUGGUAUCCGAUAAGUAGAAGGGUUGUGAAGGGGGCAGUGAUGCCUUUACAUUAGUAUCAGUAGCCAGUUGAUUGUCAGCACAGGCACUAAGACAGAUGGCCAGUGCAUCAUUUGUACUUUCACAACCACCUGAUGAAGAUUUGUUGCCUCCCCACUGUUUGCUGGUAAAAUCCAAAUAUGGAAAAACAACCGUAAAAGAGAAGAUGUUAUUGCCCCCGUUUGCUCGAGUAAACUGAUUAUGACUAAUGUUAUUUUGAGAGUAUAUGUGAAACUAUUUUAUACAUUUUUUUGAAAAAAAUUGAUUAUUUGAAA